UAUGAAUUGUAAAAUUAGUGAUCUUAGUAUUAAUAGUUUAGAUCUUUAAAUUAAAAGAAUUUGGCGGUAAUUUAGUCUUUUCAGAGGAACCUGCCCUGUAACUGAUAGUCCACGAUAAAUUUUACUUUAUCUUUGUUUGUAUACCUCUGUCAUUGAAUGCUUUAUUAGGAUGGAUUUUCUUUAACUUUUAUGAAUUUAAUGUCAGGUCAAGGUGCAGCUGUGAUAAAGAAGAGGUGGGUUACAUUGAAUUUAUUUAUGGAGAUAAAUAUGUAAAUUUUAUUGAAAUAGGAUUUGAAAGUAAGUUUUAUUAGAAUAUAAAAUUGAUUUUAGCUCUAAAUUAUGC
rnacentral:rRNA from 1 species